GCGCAGAGGAGUUGCAGGUGCCGCCGCCCACACAAUUCAUCCCAAACUCAGGAAGCAACAGCGCUGGGCACCGGGGACCCGAGCCAGAGAGUUGGAGCAAGUGGUGCUAGGCCCCAGCUUCGCUUCUUCGGAAAUGAGUUACUAGAUAGACUCAUAUCUUAGGGAAUUCCAGUGGAAAAAUUCUCUCAGUCUCAGGAUGGCCUUCAGUGAGAUGGACAGAAGUUGCACCACAAGCCUCUUAAAAGCUCAGCUGGAAAGGUUUAAAAAUGCACCGUGAACCUUCCUGUGAACAAGUCCCCAAAGGCCGUUUCACUUCAGAGGAUGUCCUCUCUGAUGGAGCUUCUCUAUAGAGCUAAAGCACAACCAGCCCAAAGGAAAGAGGAGAGCCACCACCCCCAAACUUGGCCUCAGUCUCUAAAUUGGUAAAAUGAGCAGUCGAUGCAGGUCUUGUAGGUUUGAGGCUGGAAAGUUGUGCCUGGAACCUGAAUGACAGGAUGGCUAUCCUGUCCAGAGGGGCUCUCUAUAGCCUCUGGGCAGGUCUUCAUAGAGAAUGGUUCUGAGGUUCUGUGAAAUAUGCACGAGGUCCGGUUAUUAAAUUCUGAGCAGAUGCAACUCGUCCCUUGGACCUUCGUGCCUCUGUAGAACCAAGUGCGUUGGUCAACAUCAGGCCCCUUGGGCCUAUGUGAUGAGCCAUUUUUAUUGUGGAACCUCUGGCAGAGGGGCUGUAUCUCUUCACUUCUCUAUCCUCAGGGUCUCCCUCAGACCCACACUUGAAACAGGGGAGAUGGGAGAAGCACAAGGAAAGCUACUCUUGAAGCAAACUGGAGGAUUUUGGCUGAAAGUGGAAUACGCUUGGUCUACUGAGCCUCUAAAGUGAGCAACACCUGAGAUAUGGACAGGAAAAUCUUGGUUUUAGCUUUCUGCCUCCUGGCCUUAAUUUCUUCACAACGAGAAGUGGGAAUAAUAAUCUGUACCUGGCUGGUAUGAGCGAUGAAUAUGAGUGAUCAAGGUGAAUUGCAUCAGUCUGGAAAGCAGUCAAAAGCACAAGUUCUGGGUGCGACUCCAUCUCCACUGGCCCUAUCUUCCUGGACAAAUUACUUAACCUCUCUGUGCCUCAACCUCUCCCUCUGCAUUAAGCUUACCCCAGUGUUCCCUAGAAAGAUUCGCCUCACUGAUUUUGAGGCUUGCAAAUAAAAGAAAA